rnacentral:rRNA from 1 species
GAUGAACGCUGGCGGUGUGCCUAAUACAUGCAAGUCGAGCGAACAGACGAGGAGCUUGCUCCUCUGACGUUAGCGGCGGACGGGUGAGUAACACGUGGAUAACCUACCUAUAUGACUGGGAUAACUUCGGGAAAACGGAGCUAAUACCGGAUAAUAUAUUGAACCGCAUGGUUCAAUAGUGAAAGACGGUUUUGCUGACACUUAUAGAUGGAUCCGCGCCGCAUUAGCUAGUUGGUAAGGUAACAGCUUACCAAGGCAACGAUGCGUAGCCGACCUGAGAGGGUGAUCAGCCACACUGGAACUGAGACACGGUCCAGACUCCUACGGGAGGCAGCAGUAGGGAAUCUUCCGCAAUGGGCGAAAGCCUGACGGAGCAACACCGCGUGAGUGAUGAAGGUCUUCGGAUCGUAAAACUCUGUUAUUAGGGAAGAACAAAUGUGUAAUUAACUAUGCACGUCUUGACGGUACCUAAUCAGAAAGCCACGGCUAACUACGUG